GCCGCGCUGUAAAGUGCAGGAAUACAGUGAAAAGAGACGCACCUUGUCCCGUUAACCAGACGCUGAAACACAGAGAUCAUUUGAAGACAAUAACCUCAACAUCAACAGCACUAUCCUAAAAGCAGAAAAGAUCUCCAAACUCGCCUUUUCAUGAUUGAUGUAAAGCUGGAUUUAUAUU